rnacentral:lncRNA from 1 species
AUUAUGCACUGCUAUUAAACCUAUCUAUGAUUAUACUACAGGGUUACUCCAUGAGAGAAAAAUACUGACUUGUUAAAGACCUUUUGACUCGCUCCUUAUCAACUCCUAAGGCCGUAGAUAGGACACCAAAGUAAUCUUACUUUNGAAAUUACAUCGAUCACAGAAGGUCUCCCACAGAAGCGUGUGACGGAGUGCGAGUUUUACAAAGAUCACAACACUCAAAAGGACACCGACGAAGUAAGCUCGUUAUCUCUUAGAUAAUAUGUUACACUCAACAGAGUUAAAGACCUUUUGACUCGCUCCUUAUCAACUCCUAAGGCCGUAGAUAGGACACCAAAGUAAUCUUACUUUAGAAAUUACAUCGAUCACAGAAGGUCUCCCACAGAAGCGUGUGACGGAGUGCGAGUUUUACAAAGAUCACAACACUCAAAAGGACACCGACGAAGUAAGCUCGUUAUCUCUUAGAUAUGUUACACUCAACAGAACGCGUCCUUCUGAAGCGUGUGAAGAAGUGCGGAGUGGCAGGAGAUUUACAAAGAUCACAACACUCAAAAGAACACCAAAAACGCGUCCUUCGGAAGCGUGAGGAAUGUGGAGUAGCCGGAAUUUAACGAAGAUCACGACACUCAAAAGGACAAUCAGACCAAUCAGAUCAUAUUAACUAUGAUCAGACUCACCUGCUAACUUAGCAGGUGAGUCUGGGUACGAGCCAUUAAUCUAUGAAAACGUCAUUCAAAUCCCAAAGAAAAGACCAAGGCAUUUUACGACUGGGCUGCAUUAUUUUUUUCACCUCGCGUUUUUGUUGAGGCCCGCCAGUUUUCACUUCUACAAUGCAAGCAUUAGACGAACAUGUGACAUGCGCAGAGUUAAUGAGUAUAGCUAACGGUUAGACGAGGAUUGACUUGUUGGUGAAUCCUAUGAAUGCGAUUGGAUGAGCGGUGAUUUCGACCGCUGUGAUUGGAUGUUGUCAUUUGGGUACCGUGACGAAACAUGUGCUGAUACCGCUUAAAAAAUGAAAUGCAUAAUUUUAGGAAACCUGUCACUGCUAGCAAAGUCUCCUUUUCGGUUUUUUUUUUUUUUGCUACUCCGUCUUGAAACUCUUCCUUGCCCGCGGUUCCUUGACGGUACUUAUUCGAAUUUUCGCCAUAUUGGGGAGCCAACAAGCCAAUGAAACUCUGUUAUAAGUUUAGAAGUAGUGGGGAAUUUUUAUGGUGGCGAACUCGCCUAAACUCAAGUCUUCUUGUUCCAAACACCGAUUCUUCCUCGAAGGCCGUCCGCCACUGAUUUUGUUUUUGUAGUUUCAAAAACUAGUCUGUUGGUCUCCCUGUGUCAUGGUGAGAAACGACCAAUAAUCGGUAGUUUUAUUCCCCACGUUCACCAUGGGCAAAGACCGGAUUUGACCCCCGUUCCAUGCCUCCUUCAGCAACGUGAUAUUUAUCAACCUGUUAAAAAGAUGCAAGGUGUUUUUAAGCUAGUGUUUAACUUUAUUUAAAGGUAGAAAAAACUCGUGACUUUCGCGUGUCGAAUCAAACAGCUGUUCAUAGCAUUUGUGGUCGUGCACAAAUAAAUACACCUUGAGAGGUACUGGGACAAAGCGUGAAUUCGAAAGUCGAUGACGUGUCUUUCUGCAAAUAAAACCGCUGAAUGGAAACAAGAGAUGGGAGAAAGAUGACAGGAAGUCACAUUCAACUCACCAGGCUGAUUGGGGAUAGCUAUAUAUCCAUAGCCUUCAGUGCGAUGUCUCUCCCAGCUGUCUAGNGACAAGACCUCCACAAACAAAAAUGGCCAGUGGAUAAAAUCAUCUGAGACAGA